rnacentral:rRNA from 1 species
CCUACGGGUGGCAGCAGUGAGGAAUAUUGGUCAAUGGGCGCGAGCCUGAACCAGCCAAGUCGCGUGAGGGAAGACGGCCCUACGGGUUGUAAACCUCUUUUGCCGGGGAGCAACGGGCGCCACGUGUGGCGCCACUGAGAGUACCCGGAGAAAAAGCAUCGGCUAACUCCGUGCCAGCAGCCGCGGUAAUACGGGGGAUGCGAGCGUUAUCGGGAUUUAUUGGGGUUAGAGGGUGCGUAGGCGGGGCGUUAAGUCAGUGUGCAAAGUGAGGGGCUCAACCCCUGCCCGCCAUUGAAACUGGCGCUCUUGAGUGGAAGAGAAGUAUGCGGAAUGCGUGGUGUAGCGGUGAAAUGCAUAGAUAUCACGCAGAACCCCGAUUGCGAAGGCAGCAUGCCGGCUUCCGACUGACGCUGAAGCACGAAAGCGUGGGGAUCGAACAGGAUUAGAUACCCUAGUAGUC